rnacentral:rRNA from 1 species
AGAGUUUGAUUCUGGCUCAGGAUGAACGCUAGCUACAGGCUUAACACAUGCAAGUCGAGGAGUAGCAGGGUAGCAAUACCGCUGACGACCGGCGCACGGGUGAAGUAACACGUAUCCAACCUUCCCAUAACUCAGGGAUAGCCUUUCGAAAGAAAGAUUAAUACCUGAUAGUACUUUUUCAAGGCAUCUUAGAAAAAGUUAAAGAUUUAUUGAUUAUGGAUGGGGAUGCGUUCCAUUAGAUAGUUGGUGAGGUAACGGCUCACCAAGUCUUCGAUGGAUAGGGGUUCUGAGAGGAAGGUCCCCCACAUUGGUACUGAGACACGGACCAAACUCCUACGGGAGGCAGCAGUGAGGAAUAUUGGUCAGUGGGCGAGAGCCUGAACCAGCCAAGUAGCGUGAAGGAAUGAAGGUCCUAUGGAUUGUAAACUUCUUUUAUAGUAGAAUAAAGUGAGCCACGUGUGGUUUUUUGUAUGUAUACUAUGAAUAAGGAUCGGCUAACUCCGUGCCAGCAGCGGC